GUGGGGAAUAUUGGACAAUGGGGGGAACCCUGAUCCAGCCAUGCCGCGUGUGUGAAGAAGGCCUUUUGGUUGUAAAGCACUUUAAGCGAGGAGGAGGCUACCGAGAUUAAUACUCUUGGAUAGUGGACGUUACUCGCAGAAUAAGCACCGGCUAACUCUGUGCCAGCAGCCGCGGUAAUACAGAGGGUGCAAGCGUUAAUCGGAUUUACUGGGCGGAAAGCGCGCGUAGGUGGCCAAUUAAGUCAAAUGUGAAAUCCCCGAGCUUAACUUGGGAAUUGCAUUAGAUACUGGUUGGCUAGAGUAUGGGAGAGGAUGGUAGAAUUCCAGGUGUAGCGGUGAAAUGCGUAGAGAUCUGGAGGAAUACCGAUGGCGAAGGCAGCCAUCUGGCCUAAUACUGACACUGAGGUGCGAAAGCAUGGGGAGCAAACAGGAUUAGAAACCCUUGUAGUCC
rnacentral:rRNA from 1 species